GAUGAACGCUGGCGGCGUGCCUAAUACAUGCAAGUCGAGCGAACAGACGAGAGUGCUUGCACUCUCUGACGUUAGCGGCGGACGGGUGAGUAACACGUGGGUAACCUACCUAUAAGACUGGGAUAACUUCGGGAAACCGGAGCUAAUACCUGAUAAUAUUUAGCUUCGCAUGAAGCAAUAGUGAAAGACGGUUCUGCUGUCACUUAUAGAUGGACCCGCGGUGUAUUAGCUAGUUGGUGAGGUAACGGCUCACCAAGGCAACGAUACAUAGCCGACCUGAGAGGGUGGUCGGCCACACUGGGACUGAGACACGGCCCAGACUCCUACGGGAGGCAGCAGUAGGGAAUCUUCCGCAAUGGACGAAAGUCUGACGGAGCAAUGCCGCGUGAGUGAAGAAGGUUUUCGGAUCGUAAAACUCUGUUGUAAGGGAAGAACAAGUACGUUAGUAACUGAACGUACCUUGACGGUACCUUACCAGAAAGCCACGGCUAACUACGUG
rnacentral:rRNA from 1 species